GAAGACGACCUGCAAAAGUCUUUGGUCACUGUCAGGGAGGCAUCUGGUGAUAAGAAAAGAGAGUGCAUGACUGGACCUCAGAGUUUGAAUAAGUUAUCAUCCACAAUUGCUUCUUUCCAAGGACUAUUAUGGGGCAUAGCUUCUGCUUUAGGUAGCCAAAAGCAGGUGUUAGUAAUUCCAGAACGAAGUCUUCAAGUUAUGAUGUCGAAGUGAUGUCAAGAAUUAAGUUGUGUGUAGAAGCAUGCAUUGAAUUUGCAAUAAGUUUUGUGAAGGCGGUGUUUAUUGAGGAUAAUCUGAACCCCUGCAUGACUGCAAACAGUGAUGAAUUGAGACCAAGAGCCUCAUGUAGUCAGUACAGUGUUUCCAGAGAUGGGACAAAUGAGGGAUGCCCUACUGAGGCAAUGGUGCCCUCUGAUGUAAUCAGUAAUCCUACAAAAUGUGAGCCUAAGGGAAAAUCCCGUUUAUCACUUCCAGACCUGGAAGCUUUUCUGAGGUUCCACAUAAGAAACUUCAUCUUAAGAAAUCAUUGCUGAUGAAAGUUUUAAAAGGUGAGAAUCUCGAGGCAGCUUUUUUCUUGGACAGCUGUUUAUUGCAUGUUCAGCUAUUUUAAAACUGAACAUGCAGAUUGAAUUGACUUCCUUAUCUUGGAGCUUGUUUCCAAUUGUGCAAGACAUUUCUGAGUUUAUGCUGGUGGAAUUUUCCAGAAGUGAAUUGCCAAAUCAAUUCGCUUUGUUUUUGUUAGAUGGUGUUGUGAGAUUCCUUGAAGAGCUUGGAAAUUACUUUCCGCAUAUUGAUCCUUCCUUGUCCCAAAGAUCUUUACAUCAAGCUUAUAGUCUUGCACUAGAGGGCCAUUGGAAAGUGCAUCUGUUUACAAGGAAAACAAGCAAAGUUAUCUUCCCAAGACAGAGGAUCACUGACUAAGUUGGCUGGUCAAGUGAAUUCCCAAUUUUCUUGGGCAAGAAGUCAUUUAGUUGAAUUGAAGGGAAGGUUGACGAAAUCAUUUAGUACGUAUGUUAGGAAAUCAUCUGAAUUUCACUUGCUAUCUAUCAUUCAAAUUUCACUUGCUAUCUAUCAUUCAGGCUGUUGAGAGAGCUUUAGUUGGGGUAUGGGGAGGCUCAAUGACAAAUUAUGAAAUAGUUUGUGGAAAUUUAGAUGGAGGGGAGGUCGCCUCUGUAGUUUCCGCUGGUAUUGUUUGCUUGGAUUCAAUUCUUGAAUAUGUAACAGGGCCUAGGCGUUUGAAUUUGAUAAAAAAAAAACACAUCCAGAACCUAGUUGCUGGUCUUUUCAACAUCAUCCUUCAUUUGCAGGGUCCCAGAAUCUUCUAUGGAUAUGUCGACGAUUCUGACGUACCUAUGAUUCUGGAGCGGUUACUCUCAUGUGUAUCGAAUUACUAACAAAAAUAUCUGGAAAACCCACUUUCUUCGAAAUAGAAGCCUGCCACAUGGCACAGUCCCUGCGUAUACCUGGGACACUCUUUCAAUACUUUCUACAACUUCUGAUAUCUGAAUCUCUUCUCAUCUGCUCUGGAUCGGAAGGCUUCAAUGGAGCUAUAUGAUUCUUGUUGCCGUAUGCUAUGUACUGCUCUAAAGCAUCGUAAAAGCGAGACUCGUCAGUGCAUAGCUCUUCUUCAAGAUUCAGUAACUGUACUUCUUCAUUGCGUAGAGACGGUAAAUACCAAGCAUGCUCCUGGGAGAGAGAUCUUCGAAUGGGAAAUUCAAGUAUGCGCGGGAAGUCUGCGAAGAAUAUAUGAAGAAGAGGUGUGCCUUCUCACCUCAAGCCUGUCAUUUGACAGUUAGUUAUGAAAUAUUUGUCACUGCUGAUAUAUAUCAUGUGAACUUAUUGUCUACUUGUUUCUUCGUCUCGUAAAGUUUUCCAUAUGUUGUUAUCAGCAUCUGCUUACAAGUUCUUAAUGUUUUAUUUUUAUC